CAUUACAAGUGAGGCUACCGAACGCUGGAAACAGCGGUUAGGAGCUUACACCCACCCGUGUUUACAUACUAUUGUUGCUUUGGCGGGCCGUGGCCUCCACUGCGGGCUCUGCUCGUGUGUGCCCGCCAGAGGACCAAACUCUGAAUGUUAGUGAUGUCUGAGUACUAUCUAAUAGUUAAAACUUUCAACAACGGAUCUCUUGGUUCUGGCAUCGAUGAAGAACGCAGCGAAAUGCGAUAAGUAAUGUGAAUUGCAGAAUUCAGUGAAUCAUCGAAUCUUUGAACGCACAUUGCGCCCUGUGGUAUUCCGCAGGGCAUGCCUGUUCGAGCGUCAUUUAACCACUCAAGCCUGGCUUGGUAUUGGGGCACGCGGUAUCGCGGCCCUCAAAAUCAUUGGCGGCGCCGGUGGGCUCUAAGCGUAGUACAUACUCCCGCUAUAGAGUUCUCCUGGUAGCUCGCCAGAACCCCUAAUUUUUACAGGUUGACCUCGGAUCAGGUAGGGAUACCCGCUGAACUUAA
rnacentral:rRNA from 1 species